rnacentral:tRNA from 1 species
AUUAUUUUGUCAGAAAAAUGAAUUAAAUUUAGAAUUUAAGUAUGUAUAAUUUAUUAUACAAAUAAUA